rnacentral:rRNA from 1 species
AUUGAACGCUGGCGGCAGGCCUAACACAUGCAAGUCGAGCGGAGCGGCGGACGGGUGAGUAAUGCCUAGGAAUCUGCCUGGUAGUGGUGGAUAACAUCCGUUAACGGGCGCUACUACCGCAUACUAUCAGAUGAGCCUAGGUCGUAUUAGCUCGUUGUUGUGGUAAAGGACUACCAAGGCGACGAUGCGUAACUGGUCUGAGAGGAUGAUCAGUAACACUGGAACUGAGACACGGUCCAGAAUCCUACGGGAGGCAGCAGUGGGGAAUAUUGGACAAUGGGCGAAAGCCUGAUCCAGCCAUGCCGCGUGUGUGAAGAAGGGCUUCGGAUUGUAAAGCAUUUUAAGUUGGGAGGCGUUACCAACAGAAUAAGCACCGGCUAACUCCGUGCCAGCAGCCGCGGUAAUUC